rnacentral:rRNA from 1 species
UGGGGAAUAUUGCACAAUGGGCGCAAGCCUGAUGCAGCCAUGCCGCGUGUGUGAAGAAGGCCUUCGGGUUGUAAAGCACUUUCAGCGAGGAGGAAGGUGGUGAGCUUAAUACGCUCAUCAAUUGACGUUACUCGCAGAAGAAGCACCGGCUAACUCCGUGCCAGCAGCCGCGGUAAUACGGAGGGUGCAAGCGUUAAUCGGAAUUACUGGGCGUAAAGCGCACGCAGGCGGUUUGUUAAGUCAGAUGUGAAAUCCCCGGGCUCAACCUGGGAACUGCAUUUGAAACUGGCAAGCUAGAGUCUCGUAGAGGGGGGUAGAAUUCCAGGUGUAGCGGUGAAAUGCGUAGAGAUCUGGAGGAAUACCGGUGGCGAAGGCGGCCCCCCUGGACGAAGACUGACGCUCAGGUGCGAAAGCGUGGGGCAGCAAACAGGAUUAGAUACCCUGGUAGUCCAGCGCUGUAAACGAUGUCGAUUUGGAGGUUGUGCCCUUGAGGCGUGGGCUUCCGGAGCUAACGCGUUAAAUCGACCGCCUGGGGGAGUACGGCCGCAAGGUUAAAACUUAAAUGAAUUGACGGGGUC